GACGAACGCUGGCGGCGUGCUUAACACAUGCAAGUCGAACGGAAAGGCCCUGCUUUUGUGGGGUGCUCGAGUGGCGAACGGGUGAGUAACACGUGAGUAACCUGCCCUUGACUUUGGGAUAACUUCAGGAAACUGGGGCUAAUACCGGAUAGGAGCUCCUGCUGCAUGGUGGGGGUUGGAAAGUUUCGGCGGUUGGGGAUGGGCUCGCGGCUUAUCGGCUUGUUGGUGGGGUAGUGGCUUACCAAGGCUUUGACGGGUAGCCGGCCUGAGAGGGUGACCGGCCACAUUGGGACUGAGAUACGGCCCAGACUCCUACGGGAGGCAGCAGUGGGGAAUAUUGCACAAUGGGCGGAAGCCUGAUGCAGCAACGCCGCGUGCGGGAUGACGGCCUUCGGGUUGUAAACCGCUUUCGCCUGUGACGAAGCGUGAGUGACGGUAAUGGGUAAAGAAGCACCGGCUAACUACGUG
rnacentral:rRNA from 1 species